CCUACGGGGCGCAGCAGUGAGGAAUAUUGGUCAAUGGACGAGAGUCUGAACCAGCCAAGUAGCGUGAAGGAUGACUGCCCUAUGGGUUGUAAACUUCUUUUCUAUGGGAAUAAAAUGUUCCACGUGUGGGAUUUUGUAUGUACCAUAUGAAUAAGGAUCGGCUCACUCCGUGCCAGCAGCCGCGGUAAUACGGAUGAUCCGAGCGUUAUCCGGAUUUAUUUGGUUUAAAGGUCGCGUAGUUGGAUUUUUACGUCAGUUGUG
rnacentral:rRNA from 1 species